rnacentral:rRNA from 1 species
UACAGAGGUCCCAAGCGUUGUUCGGAUUCAUUGGGCGUAAAGGGUGCGUAGGCGGCGCGGUAAGUCGGGUGUGAAAUCUCGGGGCUUAACUCCGAAACUGCAUUCGAUACUGCCGUGCUUGAGGACUGGAGAGGAGACUGGAAUUUACGGUGUAGCAGUGAAAUGCGUAGAUAUCGUAAGGAAGACCAGUGGCGAAGGCGAAUCUCUGGACAGUUACUGACACUGAGGCACGAAGGCCAGGGGAGCAAACGGG